GCGCGGCGCUCCUAGGAGCAGGCGUUCCCGACUCCGGCAAGAGGGUGGCGCCUGGACUCUCGCCCUCAGAGGGAGGCCCGUCCCACGGUCUGUGGCUACGGAUCCCAGGACCCUCUUCGCGGGCGAUUCGCGUAGCCUCAGAACUGGAAAAGCCCAAAGAUCCAGCAAUAAAGGAGCAAGGCAAAUAAAGCUGUUACCCUGCAGGAUCAGUCAGCAUGAGCCAGAUUGUGCUGCAGUAACAAAGAUCUCCAACAGCGCAGCGGCUACAGUUGGCACUGCUUAUUUCUUGCUUGCACCUGUGGGCCACCGUGGCUGGGGCCUGUCAGACCUGUGCUGACGACAGCCUACCUGGACAUAUUUCUCCAUGCUCACUGAGGCAGGGGAAAGGCCACAGCAGGCCACAAGUAAUGUGUGUCACCCCACUUCCAUUUCUGUGGCCAAAGGAAGCCACAGAGCCACACCUGAGUUCCAUAGGACGGCAGCAGCUGAUCAUCCUAUGGGCUGGGGUGCUCAGUAUGGAGAAGUACAAGCAGCCACCCAGCGUGGGGCUGGUUGGUGCUGCUGAGGAUGGGAGGAUGGGAGGGGCCUGCAUCCAUCCCAGGGCAACAUACCUGUUUGUCUGCUGGGGCUGCCUGACAAAGGACCGCAGGCUAGGGGACUUAAACAACAGACAUUUCCUCAUGAUUCUGGAGCUAGAAGCCUGAGAUCAAGGUGUGGGCAGGGUUGGUUUCUCCUGAGGCCUCGCUCCUUGGCCUGCAGAUAGCCAUCUUCUUGCCGUGUCCCUGUCUGUGUCUGUGUCCUAAUCUCUCAUAAGCUCACUAGUCUAUUGGAUCAGGGCCCACCCUCAUGACCUCAUUUAACCCUGAAUUACCUCUUUAAAGACCCUGUCUUCAAAUGUAAGUACUAGGGGUUAGGACUUGAACAUAAAAAUAUUGAAGGGACAUAGUUCUGCCCACAGCGGUGCCCGCGAUAGGCUUCUCUGGUUUUGUCUUUGCUGUUCCUGGCAGCGCUAUAUUGGGCAGGCUUCUGUGGUCUCCACAUGCCUGUGUGCAGAGUCCCCCAGGCCCUGGGUUCUGGGGCCCAUACUGAGGAGUGGGGAUGGCCAAGCCUUGGCUGUUGAGUAGGCAGUGCCCAGUUGUGCUGUAUGGGAUGCUGUUUCUCACUUAAGAAAUCUUUCCCUACCUGGGGGGUACAAAGGCAUUAUCCUGUAUUCCCAGGUUGUAACUUUCUGCCUUUGACAUUCAACCUUGAGUCCACCUGUAAGUGUAACUGCGGCAGAAGGGAGGGGUCUGCUGUCAUCCUUGAUAGCCUGUGAUGAGCAGAGCCCCUCUGCCGACCGCGAUGCACAUGUAAUAUGAGCAAGAAAUAAAUUUUUGAUGUGCGAA
rnacentral:lncRNA from 1 species